CGAACCACGACGGGAGAGCUCGGUACCCGGUCCAGCGGACCGGCGCCGGCGCCGAAGGAGCAAACCCUCCCCGGGAAUCUCUCAGGCCCCCGUACCGUCGAGGUGAG
rnacentral:ncRNA from 1 species